CCGAUGAGACACAUUCACCCCAUACAGACAUGCCUACACACAGAAGCCACGCGCGUUUGCGCGUAUCUGUGCUCCGUCGGGAUAAAGGAGCGCACUCUUCUCCAUUCCCCCAAUCCGCCCAUCCGCGCCCCAAACCCCUCUCUGCUCUCGCCUCCCUCUGCUACGAGACGGUCGAAGAAAAGCAUGAGCAGACAUCCCCCUCUCCCCACACAUACACGGAGGCCUCACCUUCUUUCUAUGCGUGCAUGCGUGCAGGCACCCUCUGUCUCCCUCGCUUUUGUUUUACCCGGCGCCUCGUAGAGAUGAGAUGAGGAUCCCCAUGCACGACACACGCACACCACGGUACUAGAAGAGGGCAAAACAGGAGGGGGAGGGGUGGGGGAGACGACGACGAAAAGAGACGACACACACACAUGUGGCAAAGAAGUGAAGGGAGCUCAGUAGUCGACUUUGUCGAUGGCGCGCAUCGCCCACUCGAUAUGGUGCGAUGCGCGUGAGACGCGCCGAUUAGCUCGUAGCGAGCUGCGCGGUGGCGCGGCACACUCACACACACGGACAACAAUACACAGGCAGGCUUGUCUGUGAGCUCUCUAUCUCUGCCUUGGCCUUUCCUUUCCCACCCCCUGCACUACCCCUUCGCUCCUCUUCCUCUCCCUCCGCCACACCAUUGCAUCAACUGCAUCAUGGGCAG
rnacentral:misc_RNA from 1 species